rnacentral:rRNA from 1 species
UGAGGAAUAUUGGACAAUGGGCGCAAGCCUGAUCCAGCCAUGCCGCGUGCAGGAUGACGGUCCUAUGGAUUGUAAACUGCUUUUGCACAGGAAGAAACAACAUUACGUGUAAUGUCUUGACGGUACUGUGAGAAUAAGGAUCGGCUAACUCCGUGCCAGCAGCCGCGGUAAUACGGAGGAUCCAAGCGUUAUCCGGAAUCAUUGGGUUUAAAGGGUCCGUAGGCGGUCUUAUAAGUCAGUGGUGAAAUCUCCCCGCUCAACGGGGAAACGGCCAUUGAUACUGUAGGACUUGAAUUAUUAGGAAGUAACUAGAAUAUGUAGUGUAGCGGUGAAAUGCUUAGAGAUUACAUGGAAUACCAAUUGCGAAGGCAGGUUACUACUAAUGGAUUGACGCUGAUGGACGAAAGCGUGGGUAGCGAACAGGAUUAGAUACCCUGGUAGUCCACGCCGUAAACGAUGGAUACUAGCUGUUGGGAGCAAU